CUAUGUCGGUUGUAGGCAUUAGGUGAUGUCAGUUGGUACGGUGGCCGAUGAGUGCAAAAGAAGUUUACAUCGCGAAAACGAAACAAAUUUGCAUAUGUCCGAAACAAAUUUACAAACGGCCAAAACAAAUUUACAAACUAGAGUUGCUGGCGGAAGGGGAAUGUCCCAAAUGCCGGAAGUUAAGGGAUAAGUUAGCCGUCAAUCCGUUUACAUGCCGGAAGUGGCGUAAAAUCAGUUUACGGAUGGAAUGCGCGCGGAGUACGAUUUUAUGACGGUCUCUGCAAUGUUUGAUGAACCAGACGGAAGGACCAAGUGCACAGGAGUCAUCUGAACAAAUGGAAAAUGCUAAUGCUAAGCAAGCAGAACAACCAUGCCCAUCAUAUAAACAAUUCUUGGAGUAUAGAAGCGCGAAGUCAAAAGAACGACAGUCUUUUAACUGUGGCCCAAAAGAACGACAAAGACAACAAAGGAAAUGCAUCCAGGCGAUGACAACUCUGACUCUGACUGUGAAGUUGUCGUCACAUCUAGGAGCGCAGCUGAAUUCAGUCGGGCUGACACUGUGAACUCCAUUACUCCCUGAAUCUGAGGAUGUGGAUCCACCUGAAACACAACCAAACAGGACUAUUUGCUACAGUAAAUACACAGACCUUUAUGCACCAUGUGCUGAGGAAGAGGAAGAGAAAGAGGAGCUGGUGGCAGUAGAUUUGAAGAAUUUUCAACACACAGCAAUAGAGGAGAUGAACAUUACAUUAUCCAAGAUUAUUGCAAACCUGUCUCAACAGAUUGAUUAUACAAGAGUCAGCAGAUUCAACAUUUUGAGAGCUAAUGUUUGGGAUGGAGCUGUCAGAGGAUUCAAGCGUACAUCAUAUUCUGAAACCUGUAACAUGCUGGUAAAAUUCACUGAUGAUGCUGGUGCUUUAGAAGAAGGAAUUGACACCAGCGGGCCAAGACGAGAGUUUCUGACUCUAUUAAUGAAACAUCUUAAAGA